rnacentral:rRNA from 1 species
AGAGUUUGAUCCUGGCUCAGGACGAACGCUGGCGGCGUGCUUAACACAUGCAAGUCGAACGGAAAGGCCCUUCGGGGUACUCGAGUGGCGAACGGGUGAGUAACACGUGGGUGAUCUGCCCUGCACUUUGGGAUAAGCCUGGGAAACUGGGUCUAAUACCGAAUAGGACCACGCGCUUCAUGGUGUGUGGUGGAAAGCUUUUGCGGUGUGGGAUGGGCCCGCGGCCUAUCAGCUUGUUGGUGGGGUAAUGGCCUACCAAGGCGACGACGGGUAGCCGGCCUGAGAGGGUGACCGGCCACACUGGGACUGAGAUACGGCCCAGACUCCUACGGGAGGCAGCAGUGGGGAAUAUUGCACAAUGGGCGCAAGCCUGAUGCAGCGACGCCGCGUGAGGGAUGACGGCCUUCGGGUUGUAAACCUCUUUCACCAGGGACGAAGCGCAAGUGACGGUACCUGGAGAAGAAGCACCGGCCAACUACGUGCCAGCAGCCGCGGUAAUACGUAGGGUGCGAGCGUUGUCCGGAAUUACUGGGCGUAAAGAGCUCGUAGGUGGUUUGUCGCGUUGUUCGUGAAAACUCACAGCUUAACUGUGGGCGUGCGGGCGAUACGGGCAGACUAGAGUACUGCAGGGGAGACUGGAAUUCCUGGUGUAGCGGUGGAAUGCGCAGAUAUCAGGAGGAACACCGGUGGCGAAGGCGGGUCUCUGGGUAGUAACUGACGCUGAGGAGCGAAAGCGUGGGGAGCGAACAGGAUUAGAUACCCCGGUAGUCCAA